AGAUUAGAGUUUGAUCAUGGCUCAGAACGAACGCUGGCGGCAUGCCUAACACAUGCAAGUCGAACGAAGGCCCUAGCUUGCUAGGUGUCCUUAGUGGCGAACGGGUGAGUAACGCGUGGGAAUCUGCCAUAGAGUGGGGAACAACUUUUGGAAACGAAAGCUAAUACCGCAUACGCCCUCCGGGGGAAAGGCUUCGGCCGCUCUUUGAUGAUCCCGCGUCUGAUUAGCUUGUUGGUAGGGUAACGGCUUACCAAGGCGACGAUCAGUAGCUGGUCUGAGAGGAUGAUCAGCCACACUGGGACUGAGACACGGCCCAGACUCCUACGGGAGGCAGCAGUGGGGAAUAUUGGACAAUGGGGGAAACCCUGAUCCAGCAAUGCCGCGUGAGUGAAGAAGGCCUUAGGGUUGUAAAACUCUUUCGCCGGUGAAGAUGAUGACUGUAGCCGGUAAAGAAGCCCCGGCUAACUCCGUGCCAGCAGCCGCGGUAAUACGGAGGGGGCUAGCGUUGUUCGGAUUUACUGGGCGUAAAGCGCACGUAGGCGGCAUAUUAAGUUAGAGGUGAAAGGCCUGGGCUCAACCUAGGAACUGCCUUUAAUACUGGUAUGCUUGAGUUCGGAAGAGGGUAGUGGAAUUCCAAGUGUAGAGGUGAAAUUCGUAGAUAUUUGGAAGAACACC
rnacentral:rRNA from 1 species